GACGAACGCUGGCGGCGUGCCUAACACAUGCAAGUCGAACGGAAAGGCCCUGCUUUUGUUGGGUGCUCGAGUGGCGAACGGGUGAGUAACACGUGAGUAACCUGCCCUUGACUUUGGGAUAACUUCAGGAAACUGGGGCUAAUACCGGAUAGGAUCUCCUGCUGCAUGGUGGGGGUUGGAAAGUUUCGGUGGUUGGGUCUGGACUCGCGGCUUAGCGGCUUCUUGGUGGGGUAGUGGCUUACCAAGGUUUUGAAGGGUAGCCGGCCUGAGAGGGUGACCGGCCACAUUGGGACUGAGAGAAGGCCCAGACUCGUACGGGAGGCAGCAGGGGGAAAUAUUGCACAAUGGGCGGAAGCCUGAUGCGGCAGCGCCGCGUGCGGGAUGACGGCUUUCGGGGUGAAAACCGAUUUGGCAUGUGACGAAGCGUGAGUGACGGUAAUGGGUAAAGAAGCACCGGCUAACUACGUG
rnacentral:rRNA from 1 species